rnacentral:rRNA from 1 species
AGUGAACGCUGGCGGUAGGCCUAACACAUGCAAGUCGAACGGCAGCACAGUAAGAGCUUGCUCUUACGGGUGGCGAGUGGCGGACGGGUGAGGAAUACAUCGGAAUCUACUAUUUCGUGGGGGAUAACGUAGGGAAACUUACGCUAAUACCGCAUACGACCUACGGGUGAAAGCAGGGGGUCUUCGGACCUUGCGCGAUUGAAUGAGCCGAUGUCGGAUUAGCUAGUUGGCGGGGUAAAGGCCCACCAAGGCGACGAUCCGUAGCUGGUCUGAGAGGAUGAUCAGCCACACUGGAACUGAGACACGGUCCAGACUCCUACGGGAGGCAGCAGUGGGGAAUAUUGGACAAUGGGCGCAAGCCUGAUCCAGCCAUACCGCGUGGGUGAAGAAGGCCUUCGGGUUGUAAAGCCCUUUUGUUGGGAAAGAAAAGCAGCAGGUUAAUACCCCGCUGUUCUGACGGUACCCAAAGAAUAAGCACCGGCUAACUUCGUG